rfam:Camelus ferus unplaced genomic scaffold scaffold958, whole genome shotgun sequence.
GAGGGUAUAGCUCAGUGGUAGAGCGCAUGCUUAGCACGCAUGCUUAGCACGCAUGAGGUCCUGGGUUCAUUCCCCAGUACCUCCA